CUGACGCUGAGGUGUGAAAGUGUGGGGAGCAAACACGAUUAGAUACCCUGGUAGUCCACACCGUAAACGAUGAAUGCCAGUCUUCGGGCAGUAUACUGUUCGGUGACACACCUAACGGAUUAAGCAUUCUGCCUGGGGAGUACGGUCGCAAGAUUAAAAAUCAAAGGAAUUGACGGGGGGCCGCACAAGCGGUGGAGCAUGUGGUUUAAUUUGAAGCAACGCGCAGAACCUUACCAACCCCUGACAUCUUGUGCUAACCCGAGAGAUCGGGCGUUCACUUCGGUGACGCACUGACAGGUGCUGCAUGGCGGUCGUCAGAUCGUGUCUUGAGAUGUUCGGUUAAGUCUGGCAACGAGCGCAACCCACAUCUUUAGUUGCCAGCAGUUUGGGUGGGCACUCUAAAGAAAAUGCCCGUGAUAAGCGGGAGGAAGGUGUGGAGGACGUCAAGUCUUCAUGGGCCCUACGGGUUGGGGUACACACGUGCUACAAAGGCAGAGACAAUGGGUUAAUCCCAAAAAGAUGUGUCAGUUCGGAGUGGGGUGUGCAACUCGACCCCACGAAGUGUGAAUCGCUAGUAAUCGCGUAACAGCACGACGCGGUGAAUACGUUCCCGGGCCUUGUACACACCGCCCGUCACACCACGGGAGUUGGUUUUACCCGAGGACGCUGCGCUAACCCUUCGGGAGGCAGGCGGCCACGUAGAUAGGAC
rnacentral:rRNA from 1 species